rnacentral:lncRNA from 1 species
AUGCGUUGCGGUGUUGUGAAUAGCUUGUUCUAGUGAACUUGAGCUGUAAGUCCAGAUUUUGUCAUGUGCGUUUUGCUUCUUGGGCUCGCGUCGUAAUCUUUUGAAGCCUUCGCGUUGUCAAGAUGGCUGUCGGCUUAGAGUCGCGUGAGCCGAAUGCAUAAGGGACUCUGGUUUCGUUACUGGUCCCCCCGUCCGGCAUGUGGCAAGUUGCUCCUUCCAAUCCUGGGGCAGCCGAGGCUCCCGGCUAUGGUCAGCAGUAUUACGACCCCGCUGCCCCGUAUUACCCGCCGACUGCGUACGGACCGGAGCCGUACGUUGCGCACGCGGAAGAAAGCAUCAUCGCAGAUUCUCCUGCCGAAGCCGGGAAUGAUUCAUC